rnacentral:tRNA from 2 species
GGGGCUUUGAUGUAACGGCAACAUAGUCGGCUCCAGACCGGCCCAUAAGAGUUCAAAUCUCUUAAGCCCCA